rnacentral:rRNA from 1 species
GUGACCUGCGGAAGGAUCAUUAUUGAAAUAAGCUGGUCGAUGCUGCUGCUGGCCUUCUUUGUGAGGCACUGUGCACGCGUUGUCCAACCUUUCCAUCUUACCCCUGUGCACCUUUGCGCUUGUCGACGACAAUCCGUUGUUUGUUGGCAUGCNUCCUUUUUGAUUUACAAACCCCUUUGCAUGUAUCUUGAAUGUGUUUGGGUUAUAUGUUGUAAUCAUAAUAAUAAAAACAACUUUCAACAACGGAUCUCUUGGCUCUCGCAUCGAUGAAGAACGCAGCGAAAUGCGAUAAGUAAUGUGAAUUGCAGAAUUCAGUGAAUCAUCGAAUCUUUGAACGCAACUUGCGCCCUUUGGUAUUCCGAAGGGCACGCCUGUUUGAGUGUCGUGAACAUCUCAAGGUCACCUCAACCAUUGAUUGGUUGAGGUUUGUCUCUUGGAUUUGGAGGGUUUUGCAGGCUUCACGGGAUGAGUGAUCUCUGCUCCUCUUUAAUACAGCAGCAAGGCUCUUGUGAUGAAGCCUCCCUUGGUGUUUGUAGUUUGACCUUACGCCAUGGGUGAGUUUGUUGCCUCUCGGUCCACUUCGUUCUUGAGGUGUGAGGGGGAGAGCCAUGCUUCGAAUGGUCCAUGAUGUUGAUGGACAAAAAUUGUUUUGACCAAUUUGACCUCAAAUCAGGUGGGGACUACCCGCUGAACUUAAGCAUAUCAAUAAGCGGAGGAAAAGAAACUAACGAGGAUUCCCUAGUANCUGCGAGUGAAGCGGGAUAAGCUCAAUUUAAAUCUGAC